rnacentral:lncRNA from 1 species
UGGUACCAAGAGCGUCACUGAAACCUGCUGAAGUUUUGAAAUACCUACAACUUAACUACUAAAACCAAGCCACCUGCCCAGUGACUUCUACUUGAGCUGUUCCAGUUCAUCAUCCCUGUAUUACUAUGUUGUUGGAACACCAUAAAUCUACUGAGUCAGAUAAGACAUUCCUCCUGCCCUGAAGAAAUACUCUCUAAAGAAGAUGAGUGAACAUAAAGCAGAACCCCUCAUGAGGUAGUUUAUCUAACCCUCAGCAGUUCCUUGUUGAAAGAGGACUGAGGAAACAUGUCUGAGGAAAAAAAGAGCAGCUUUUGCUUUGUGGUUAGCUGUGAACACGGGGGAAGGAUAGUGACGUACAUUUUAUUGUGGUCAGAGAAACAGCUUGGGCCUGUCCUAUGCAAGAGGAUUUCUGAGUGUUCUCUCAAUAGCCUGGAUGCUUGUCCACGUAAUGACAUGACCAACAGCUGCUUAAUUGAGGCUCCAUUAACUCUUUUUUUCUGCAGGUUACUUGUCUGCCUACUAAUUUCCUGUUGCAACGGAGCCCUUCUUACUGCAGGGCCCAAAGAUCCUUCCAGGCUCCAGUUCUCUAACUCUUUUUGUCCACAGAAGUUUAGCCACUGUUCCUCUCCAUGUUCCUCUCUGGGAACUUGACCCACUUUGUACAAGGCUUUAAAGAAGCUUUCACCGGGUUCUUCAAAGCAAUCAGCAUCCGAAUUGGCAGAGCUUUUCUUGGGUGUUCCUGGCACCCACUAAGCAGUGAGCUGGUAGGCAGUGAGCAAAUAGACUGCUCUCAGAAAACAGCAAGCAGGAGGAGGAAUGCAACCCCACUGAAAGGCUGACAGGACCCUGCUGAUAGAGCCUGAACUCACUCUUCCCUGCACCCUUCUUGCUGCUUCUCCUCCAGUCCCACAGCAGAGCUCUUUGUGCACCUCAUGAAAUUGCAUGUUUAAGCCCUUCCUUAUACAGCUAUCAACAGACGAUAUGAGGCAAAGAGAUGAUGGCACAGAUAAAGUAUCUGCUGUGGAGUCAGGACUUCAGCUGCUACAUCAAGCUAUCCCACUGACCCUGGGUAAGGAGCCCUUUCUGACUUGCAAAAUCAGGAUGUUUGGAGAAUUAAAUCAUCUUCAACAAAGCAUCUUAAUAUCAGUAGAGAGAAGGCUCUGGGGAAGUGUGACUCAUUAGUCGUAAUUUAUCAUAAUUUACAUUAUAUAUAUAAUGAGGAUAGAUUUAUCAUGAGGAUAUUUAUAUCUGUAUUGUAAUUUAUAUUCUUAUAAUCAAAUUUAUCAUACUUUUAUUAUAAUCUAAUAAAAGCUUGAUUUAUAUAAUCCUCAUAGGUGUAAGAUUCUUGCUAGAAAUGUUCUUGUUUCUGGAUGCAGCAGCAAGGAUGUUGAAAUUUGACUGAAUGUAACACUGAACAAGAUGUGAGAAGUAAAUGACAGUUGUAGUGCC